UGAUACACCUGAUAAAACGAGUUCUCUAUCAUUUGCAAAGUGAAACGUUAAGAUGAGUAUAUGGGUAAAAAUACAAGACUUUAAAUGUCCAGGAAAAAAUUGCAGCAACGAGACUCCAGGGAACUGGGUGUGUGGACAGGAUGAAACGAAUAUGUAUAUGUCUCAAACUGGUUACAUCCGAUGCAAUGUCGCUUCGAGACACUAUUGUUCCAAUGAUUUGAACAGUUGGCACCAUAUUGACAAAAUAAGUAAUUGGCGAUGGGACUGUGGUAUGCAUGGUAGUCAUCCAUUCCAAAGGUACAUGGAAGCAGAUAAGACCGCUUUUUUUCUUUCAAUGUCAAUGGCAUUACAGAUGGUAAAAAACAAAGGCAAAUCAAGAUGGAUAGCAGCUUUGAUUUUAGAGCUCGGAAAACAAUUUGGAGAUGAUGAUUCGGACGACGACGUUAAAUAAUUUUACUGAAAAACGCACAGGAAGCUAGCGGACAUUGUCACAUUUUUUACGAAUGAUUAAACAUUUACUUAAACUUUAAUGUUUAUGCUGCAAUAAUGUUAACAUUGUGAUGUGUGGUUACUUCGACUUAUAUUUUGUGUUGGCCCUAUUAGUGAUUUAUGUAUUGUAUUGUGAGAAUGAUUUGCUGAUUAGUUUAUUACAAUUUCAAAUGAAUUUUAUUUGUUAUAUAUGAUUGCAUUUUGCACAUACAAGUUUCCUAAUCGUGGCUGCGACAUCGAUCAUUACUAUAGUGAAUGUGUGACUUGUCUAAAGUUUGAAUAUGUUAUUAUCGUGAAUAUAAUAAUAAUUACUACUUGACGUUUAACAUGCAUUUUGGCUAUGACACAAGUAAAUUGGAGGCUUUGGUGUAAGCAUAUUUAUUUACAGGUACUAUUUAUAUAUUUAUUUUGUAAUUUGUAAUUGAUGAAAAGUCUAAAAGGCACAGAAAUGAAACAUUUUGAAUGUGCAAUAUCAGUUAUUACAAUGUAUAUUUUAUACAAAAAUUAAUUUGAAUUUUCAAACAAAUUAGAGAAGUUAAAAUAAGGAUGCAAAGAAAAAAAUAAUAAAAAAAACACGUAAGCAAUAUUAUGUUUAAUAUGAGAAAUGUUGCCAUUUGCCUGAAUUGAUUACGUUUAUAAUAUCAUUAUUUAUUCACACUUAAGGUUCGCAAAUAGGAUGUCUUUGUACUCGCAAGUUUUUAGCUUUCAUAGAAGCAACUUGUAUAUGAUACUUUUGUACCAUAACCCUAAUGCAACAUUGUAUAUUUCUAUAUGAAAAUGAGACUUUAUACAUUGGCUAUAUUCGAGGUUUUUUCUUGAUAACCCUCCAUAAUGAACGUUUAAACUCCACAUGAUGAAAAACUAGUUUGUAUAAAUACCUGUCCUUGUGUAGAACUAAAUGACAACAUUAUUUUAAAAGAUACAUUGAUUUAAGGAAUAUCAACUUUGUAUUAAGAAGUUACAAUAUUAGGUUAUGAACAAUUUUUUAAUUUAUCAACGGAAAAUUUUAGAAAAAUAUAUACAAAUCAUGACAGUAUCGAAACACUAAAUACUGGACGGAUCAUAUCCUGAAUAAUCCAACAUAAUGGUUCACAUUUUUUUUUAAAAAUGUUAUCUUUUUUUCUAUUUCAGAAAUUACUUUUACAUUUUGUCGUCUCCAUUUUGUCCUGGGGUUUAUAUUUAAGAAGACACUUUUCAUCCGAUUAUUACAAUUUAAAAAGAUCUCAAACAUGAAUAUACAUUUUCUAUCAUUCCAGUUUGUACAUAUUAAGUACAUAACGAUAGCUGGAAUAUUUUAGCGCGUUGGAUGUUUAUAAAUUGAGUUGUUACCAUGCAACAUAUUUUCAAUGAAUAUAACAAAAUGAAGUCUAAAGAACGAGCGAGUGUGUGCAUAAUAUAUUUAGUGUUCUAUAUUUAUUAUAUAAACGAGUGUUCGAGUUAUUUUCAGUAAAGAUGAAUGUGUCAAUCAUGUAUAUUAUAUAUCAUGUUACCGGUUGGACAUGCUUUCAUGUCGUGUUUAAGGAAUGUGGAAUUUCUUUUUUUUCCCGAUUAGUCAUCUGAAUACAAGGGAUGAGUAAGCAGAAAGGAAUGUUAAAGUUCUAAGAAAAAUGUUCUUUUAAGGAAAUAUAUUUUUUUUGUUAAAACGACAUCUCAUUCCUUAAAUUAUUUUAUAACUAAAAGAUGGAUGGUUCUGAUAAAAAGUACGAUAAAAAUUCAAAAGUAGGAUGAAAAAACAGGUUAUAUAAGGAAGUCGAAACUUUUUGUCAAAAGAUAUGAAACAUUCAAAAUAUUUGUGUAUAGUGCUUACGAAGUAAAAUAAUAAAAGAGUAGUCGUGACACAUCAGUU